rnacentral:rRNA from 1 species
GACGAACGCUGGCGGCGUGCUUAACACAUGCAAGUCGAGCGGAGCGGCGAACGGGUGAGUAACGCGAGAGUAACUGCCCCCCUCUCUGGGAUAACAGUUGGAAACGGCUGCUAAUACCGGAUAGUGGGGGAUGACUCGCGUCCUAUCAGCUUGUUGGUGGGGUAGUGGCCUACCAAGGCGACGACGGGUAGCCGGCCUGAGAGGGCGACCGGCCACAGUGGGCUGAGAUGCGGCCCAAACUCCUACGGGAGGCAGUAGGGGGGAAUAGUGCGCAAUGGGGCAGCGCCUGAGGCAGAAACGUCGCGUGCGGGAGGACGGGCUUCGGGUUGUAAACCGCUUUCAGCCAUGACGCGGUAGUGGCAGAAGAAGCACCGGCUAACUACGUGCCAGCAGCCGCGGUAAUUC